rfam:Triticum aestivum genome assembly, contig: Triticum_aestivum_CS42_TGACv1_scaffold_271617_3DS
CAACUACUCCCUCUGUCCCAAAUUUCUUGUCUUAGAUUUGUCUAGAUACGAAUGUAUCUAAUACUAAAAUGUGACUUGAUACAUCCGUAUCUAGACAAAUCUAAGACAAGAAUUUUGGGACGGAGGGAGUACUUU